rnacentral:rRNA from 1 species
UAACCUUUUAGGAGCCAGCCGCCGAAGGUGGGACAGAUGAUUGGGGUGAAGUCGUAACAAGGUAGCCGUAUCGGAAGGUGCGGCUGGAUCACCUCCUUU